GAAGGAAUGUCAGAGGCGAUGGACGCAGAAGGUACAGAGCUGGAAGAAAAGUCCUCAGAAACAGCCACUACUGUAGCUAUCGUGAUGACUGCAGAUUAAGAUGGAGGCCAUUUGUGCUGUGUCUGCCGCGUCCUUUCGAUGACAGGAAGAAGAAUGCUUCAGAGAAGUGGCGUUCAUGGUCACAGUGCACAGUGUGCCAAUCAUGGUCACACACUGCAUGUCAAGACACCAUGCAAACAGCCUGUAGCGCUGCAUCAGUGAUAGGAAACAUGCUAGUUACACAAGAUGUUUUAUGUUUUAACUUUGAGUUGUUUUUACUUUGUUCAUGACCCCAUCCCUACAAACACACACACACACAUUUUUUUUAUUUUUAUGUAUUAGGUGCCAUUUAAUCUUUUUCAUGCAAAUGUAUUGUAAUGAUUACACUUAUAAGAAUAAAACAGAUUUUUAAUUCAA